GCUCGGCCUCAGGCCCAUACUGCUGCAUAUAUACAAACAGAAAGGAAUUCAUACUACAAAUAGAGAGUUGAAAGAAUUAAUGUGUUCUAAAAACGACCCGUUGGAAAAAAUGCGACGGAUAUUUGAACAACAUCUGAUGAAGAAACAUCCUCCAGUCUUCCAGGAGUGGUUCAGACGAGUCUUCUCUGAUCCUUAUGGAUGGUAUCAAGCUAGAUCGGCGUAUAUACGCACAACUGCUGUUAUGUCAAUGGUGGGAUACAUAUUAGGUUAGUACAUAUUAU